CCAUUCAGGAACUCAGCUCCAGAAGGUAGAACCAGCCAGGGGGGAGAUGGGAGCCACCACUGGCCAUCGCAGCCUACCUGAGACUCGGGUCACAGAGACUCGGUCAAAGCCCCCCAUGAACAGAGGAGACAGUCCAGGCCUGGAAUACAGCUACAAACACCCUGGAGAACACAGGCCAUUAUGGAAAUAAUGUGCUGAAUGUGGCUGAAGGAAGACCAAGAAGAAUUUAUUCUGCCUGAGGUGCUGGCGUCCAAGAAAAAUACAAGUGUGCAGGUCUUGAGUGAUGAGUCAGGACCCAGUGGAAGCAAAGCACGCACGCGCACACACACACACACACACACACACACACACAACACAUGCACACACACACAACACAUAUACACACAUACACAUACACUGCACACACACCACCCCACACACACGGUGCACAGUAGAGGGUAGGAAGGCUCCAGGCUGCCCAGGGAGCUGCAGUGGGUGGGUCCCUGGGUAGAGGCCAGCCUCCAGGAAGACGGGCCCAGAGGUCUCUAUACUAAGGUGCCUAUGCUUUAUUCUGAAGUCAAAGAGAACCUUCUCGUGUUUUUUACGAAUAGCAAUCACAUGGUCAGAUCUACGAUUCAGAAAGUGAGUUCUGGCCGCUUCUGAAGGCUGGAGGAAAAGGGCAGCAAGGCAGCCAGGACCAGGGCUUCUGGCUAGGGGCAAUGAGAUGUGAGCAGGAGGAGAGGCAUGCAGCAAAGGGAAGAGGGUGCCCCAGGACCUGAACCCUACAGGAUGAGAGUGAGAGAGCAGUCAGGAGACCCUGUGGUGCCCGGGGCACGAUGAUGCCCUUCCCUCGGAAGCACACCUAUGUGAAGAAUGUACCGGUGCAUCUCUGUGUAGCCUCUGAAGUGUCUGUGAAUCAUCCUGGAGCGAUGAGCUGGGAGCAGCCAGGUGGGACUACCAUGCCAAACUAGCCUCAGGUCUCAGUGUGUAUCCCAAGAAAAGUUCAUUUUGUGCUUUCCCAAAGUCUGAUGUCAAUGAAAAAACAAGGGUCCCUCCUCUGUCUUUAGAUUUGCUUUUUAGAACCUGUAGCUUUGAGAUCACUUAUGACAGAAAAAAGAGAGCCAGUGAAUGCCAAGAUGCUCCAAAAGCUUGAGAUUUAAGAGUCCCUCCAUUUAUUUCACACAAGCCAGGGCUAGCAGGGGAGGCUGAGAGACACAGAGCACGGGACAUCAUGCAGACACUGAUUUCACUGCCCCCCUAGGGAGAACUCAGGAGCUCUUCAGGAAUGGCCACAGGGGACCCAUGACUGCUGGAAGUCAAUGGGAAGACUAAGCAGGAGCACUCAGAGGCUAUCGAGGUACUUUCAGAGAUGACUCGGGAGUUAGUGCAAAGCUGCUGUUUCCAUGUAGAGAAUCCCCAUCCUCCACUGAGCCUCUUUGUUCCCACACUGGCAGCCAGGAGCAGUUGGCAAGGUCUGGGCACACUGCAGCUCUGGAGCUCACCACAAAGCCUCCCCAUUCUAGAUUUCUCUGGAGGAGUCUUCCUGAGCCCUCUACUUUCGUAGGCAUUUGGAAAGAAGCCUCACAGUGCUCUUGUUUGUGAGAUUCAUUUCAGAAAUCAUAAGUUUUGCUACCAAAUUACUCAAUGUGAAACUGAUGUUGACUUAAACUGUUUCCAGGUUUAAGAAUUCUCAUCACAAAAAUUUGGUGGAAAAUCAUGGCUUGAACAGUUUCAA